rnacentral:rRNA from 1 species
GACGAAGGGGGCUAGCGUUGUUCGGAAUUACUGGGCGUAAAGCGCGUGUAGGCGGUUGUCCAAGUUGGAUGUGAAAGCCUUGAGCUUAACUCGAGAAAUGCAUUCAGGACUGGAUGACUAGAGGACCGGAGAGGAUAGUGGAAUUCCCAGUGUAGUGGUGAAAUACGUAGAGAUUGGGAAGAACACCAGUGGCGAAGGCGGCUAUCUGGACGGUUUCUGACGCUAAGACGCGAAAGCGUGGGGAGCAAACAGG